GUCUACGGCCAUACCACCCUGAAUGCGCCCGAUCUCGUCUGAUCUCAGAAGCUAAGCAGGGUCGGGCCUGGUUAGUGCUUGGAUGGGAGAAUGCAUAACUAGGGGGUCACCAGUGGGGGCCAAAAUUGACUGUAGCUU
ensembl:rRNA 5S_rRNA 5S ribosomal RNA